CAAAAAUAUAAAAAUGCAUGCAUGGGAUACAUUUGUUAUUGAAGGCAUGACUGUAACAAUAGGAUGAAGAUAAAAAAAAUAUCUUAUUCUGGGAUCUCAUUGGGGGGGGGGUCUGAUCCCUCAUCCCGCUUACUGCUUUGUCAGAUUCCCGUAUCCCGCUUAUACUAUGCAGUUCUCAGUUUUUGAAAUUUUACGUGUCACGCUAUACUUUAUUUCUCGUUUUCACGACACAAUCAUUUGACUUUCACGUGUCACGCUUACAAAAAAAUCGGCAAUUCCGCGUCACGCUUAUACCCCAACGCAACCC
rnacentral:lncRNA from 1 species